rnacentral:rRNA from 1 species
ACGAACGCUGGCGGCGUGCCUAAUACAUGCCAGUAGAACGCUGAAGAGAGGAGCUUGCUCUUCUUGGAUGAGUUGCGAACGGGUGAGUAACGCGUAGGUAACCUGCCUGGUAGCGGGGGAUAACUAUUGGAAACGAUAGCUAAUACCGCAUAAAAUGGAUUAUCGCAUGAUAAUCCAUUGAAAGGUGCAAAUGCAUCACUACCAGAUGGACCUGCGUUGUAUUAGCUAGUUGGUGGGGUAACGGCUCACCAAGGCGACGAUACAUAGCCGACCUGAGAGGGUGAUCGGCCACACUGGGACUGAGACACGGCCCAGACUCCUACGGGAGGCAGCAGUAGGGAAUCUUCGGCAAUGGACGGAAGUCUGACCGAGCAACGCCGCGUGAGUGAAGAAGGUUUUCGGAUCGUAAAGCUCUGUUGUAAGAGAAGAACGAGUGUGAGAGUGGAAAGUUCACACUGUGACGGUAUCUUACCAGAAAGGGACGGCUAACUACGUG